rnacentral:lncRNA from 1 species
CCAGCAAACAUAGAAGAAGAGACGACAAAAAGACUUUUGAAGAACAUAUUUGUAUAUGAUAUGGCAAACACAUGAAAACAGAAAACCAAUCUCUCAUUAUUACAUAGAAGAAUCAUAUCCCCUGUGAUUGAACAGGUACUGCUGUUGAUGACCUCAGCAACGGUUGCAGAGCUUUUACCACAAUGCUCAUGUUCGGCCUAAACUCUGAUUCAUAUUGCACACACAACGCUGCAACAGCCGCAAGCUAAGAGACACAAGAAGGAGAAAACAUUUCAUAAUUAGCUUCAAAAGUGAGUGGUUACACAGGUAAGAGAUGAAAACUUUUAUAUUACCUUUGCAACUGCUUUAGGAGGAUAGUCUCCUUUGAGUUUAGGAUCAACACACUGCUUCACUUUGUCUUCACUUAGCCUCGGAGUGGCCCAAGUGACAAGACUCUGCUGGCCGCGAGGCAUUGUAUGAUCAACAGGCUUUCUACCAGUCAAAAGCUCCAAAAGCACCACACCGAAACUGGAACAAAGAUAACAUCUUGAAAAGCCUCACUCGAUCGGAGGUCUUCCGAUGAUCCACAAUAUAGCAAGCGAUGCAAUGUACUUAAAAGAAAUCUCACCUCAACCCCUAUCCAAGACGAAGAGCCAAGAACUAACAACAGGCCGUAGAACCAAGAAUGUUGGGCACGUUAUUAAUUAAAAUUCUUUGUCCCAAAAAAUAAAAAAAAAUUAGGCACACUUUUUAGAGUUUAGAUAGUUUUCCUUAUAAGAUUCAAAACUAUUGUUAUUUAAUUAAUUAAACUCGGUUAAAUAAAAUAUAUAAAUUAACUUGAUCGAUUAAGAAACUUGAAUAGGAAACGUUCUUGUGUUGACAAAAAAAAAGGAAACGUUCUUGUGAAAUCAAAGCAACAAGAGAGAGGCACUUGCGACCGAUUGAUUCAACCAAUCUUCAUCCGGAUAAGUAACUUGACAAUAGGAAAUAAUGGAUAGGAAAGAUCGAUCAUACAUAUCAUGCAAGGACAAGUAACUUGACGACUUUCUUCUUAACUUGCUUAAUAAUCAAACAAAUUGCACCAGGUAACUUGCUAGAUUCUCCCAGAUGCAUGGCGGCCUUUUUCUUUUAAUAGACAAUGCACAACAUGGCAAUGGAUCCACUAAAUUAAGGGAUUUUCGGCAUAGAGCUAUUGAUUCAUCUCAUUACAUGCACCCCCAUGCCACGUCGCGAACUAAAAAGCUUGACGUUCAUUCUUACUAGUGGUAAGUGAUUGGUCAGUCAGAUUUUGCCAUCGGACGUGUUCGUCAAAGAGAUUGAUCAGGAACAGUAUUGGGAAGCUCUUUUUCCAUUAUUUGAAGGGUUCAAAUUAGCGUAAUAAAAUUGAAAAUGAUGAUAAAGAUCUCACUUAUUAGAAAAAAAUACUUAGUAUUGUGGCUAUCUUUGGCAAUACAAAAGGGGAAAUCGAAGCUAAACAGAAUUGUACAAGUAGAAAACUCAAACCCAAUUUAUUAAUUUAGAACUAAAAAUCUGAUCUUCAAAUAAAAUGGUAUAAUAUUAUGGGCAAUUAUCUCAAAUAGCAAUUUAUAAGUUUUUGUCACAAAAAUAGACCUCAAGAAAAAAAUGACCAAAAUAGCUCUUUUUUAUUUUGAAAAUUUUAAUAUUUAUUUUUUAUUUUUUUAAAUUUGAAACCCUAUCCCCAAAAUUCCACACCUUUAUCUCUAAACUAUAAGUCUAGAUUAGUUAACCUUAUAGUAAAAAUAUAUUUUUACCUUUAAUAAAACUUAUUUUGAUCAUUUUUUUUCAUUGGAGGUCUAUUUUUAUGACAAAAAAUUAAAAAUGACUAUCAUAAGAAAUUUCUCAAGUAAGUAUUAUUCACUAUAAUUGUCAAUUAGUAUCUUAUAAUGUUAUUAUAUUCAUUGCAACAUUUUAUAAGAAUAUCUAAGACUAAUUAAUAGUUAUAAAAAAUGAAGAUGUUUGUAUCAUUAUAAUCAUCCAAACUAGCUAAGCAUUGUUACUAGAUUUAUCUCUCAAAAAUAGCUAUCAUUAACAUUGCAAUUCAAUUUUUGUUUUCACAUCAAAGCAACGAUUUUUUGUUGAAAUAAAUGAAUUAUAAUAUAAAUAGUAUAUAAAAUUAGGCACAUUCUUAAAUAGCUUUUCCUUGCAGAUUCAAAACUAUACUAUUAUUUAAUUAAACAAAUAAAUGUUGGUUGUUGUUGUGUAAUCAAAGCAAUUAGAGAGAGUACUCGCGAGUUGCGACUGUUUCAAUCAAUCAAUCUUCAUCUCUCUGGAAUUCGAGUUAUGUGGGAGAAGAUCGUGACUUUAGAGGGAUGAUGCUUCGAUAAAACUGAUCGUUUAUGUCAAGUGAGGUUAAGCUUAGAUCCAAGUUUUGAUUUUGAAAUCUAUUUGCUACUUAACUCUCUGUUUCUAUUGUUUUGAGAUUUGAUCGUGGAUGUUUUGAGAAUCCUUGUUUUGAUUCUGUUACUUAGCUCAACAUUGAUUGAUUUGACUGAUUCCUUUUGCUCAAAUUCAACUGAAAGUUGCUACCUUUGUCGUGACUUCAUGUUUCAUUCAGGUUGGCUCAGAGUCUAUAAGUUGGUUCAAGAUAAAAAAGAUGAAUGGGAAGGUUGUGUGCAGUGUAUGUCGUAGCAAAACUAUUUCGAGGGCUUAUGAUGAUCAUAAGACUAGAGUGACCUCAAAGCAACGCGUCCUCAAUGUCCUUUUGGUUGUUGGUGAUUGCAUGCUUGUUGGUCUACAGGUAGGUAAAACCAUCUCAGCUUGUCUUCCAUGACCAUGACAUUUUACAUAUCAGAAUAACUUAAAAGUUACUUACCUUUCCCUUUUUUUUUCCAGCCUGUGUUGGUGUACAUGUCCUAUUAGUGUCAACUUCUUGACGGAAAUUGCUAAAGUUGUUUUUGCGAUUGUGAUGCUUUUAAUCCAGGUUUGUUUCUGAACUGACUUCAACAUGUACACUCUAGUAUUUAGAAACUAGUUGCUAGAUGUUUCUUCUGCGUUAGGAGAUGAAAAGUACCAGAAGUUCAUUUGGAUAUUUUCUCGAGUAACUUUUCCCUUUUCUUGAUUAACUUGUACUUUGAAGUUUGAAUGUGAAAAGGAUCCCACUCUGUUCUGUGCAUAAAGACAAUUUCUCUAUUUCCAAAUUGUUACCUAUUGUUGACUCGCUCGCUUUUCUGAGGAUGGAUCUAUUACUACUUAAUGGUUUGUGUUCAAACUGUAGGCCAAGCACCAAAAAGUUGGAGAGAAGCCACUUCUAUCUGUUUCAACAUUUGUCCAGGUACUUCUUCUUUGUCAAUUAAAGAGUCUGUACUAGGAUUUUCCUAGGGCACAUCCUCACAUUUGAAGCUAGUUCCUUGACCUUUUGUUACCUGAUCGCUUACACAUAUCUCAUCUGCGGAUCACUUUUUUUACACAGUUCAUUGGGUUUGUUAGAUUGUGGAAUGUGAAUGUUACUGACAGAACAUAUUAUUCUAAUAACUUGAAACUUCUAAGUUCAAUUGGUUGACUAUUUGUAAUGGAAAUCGCAUUUACAUGAGUCUAUUUUGCAGGCAGCUCGAAACAAUUUGCUUCUUGCUGUUCCAGCCCUGUUGUAUGCUAUCAAUAACUAUCUCAAAUUCACAAUGCAGGUACAUCCACUUGUUCUUUUUUUCAUUUUGGCAUACGUUAGUCUAAUUAAGCUUCUGAAAUGUAGGGAUAUGAUCUACUGUCUGAGGUUUUGGCUUUAUGAGAAUGGCAUGUCCUGUGGUGUUCUGUUAAUUCCAAUUUUGUUGAUUCUGUAUUUUGUGAAUUUCCUAGUCAGACACUACUUAAAUGCACUCUAAACAAAUGACUGAUCACCAUUUUCUUAGGAUAAUCCUGCUACUUAAAUGCGUCCGUAAGACCUGCUAGUCAUUGCGUUAUAAAACUAGUUGUCUUUUGGUGAUAGAUGUUUGAGUCUAGUUGGUAACAUUAUUCUUACAUUGUGCAUUGCAGAGCUCUCCUUCUAAUUCUUAUACUAUUUGGUUCUAUCUUUCAUUCUUUCAUGUAUUUUUAUUUCAUAUACUGAAAGUUUCUACUGUGCCAGCUAUACUUCAAUCCUGCUACUGUAAAGAUGCUUAGCAAUCUAAAGGUUCUUGUCAUUGCUGUUCUAUUGAAGAUGGUGAUGAAGCGGCGGUUUUCCAUCAUUCAGGUGAGGUUCAGAUAUUCUUAUUUUUAUAUGUGCAUAUGUCUGGUUUUCAGUAUCAGAAAAUAUUAUUGUGGAAGUUUUGUGUAGCCUUCCAUCCAUAAUUACACCUCUUAUUCUCGUUUGGAUUUUAUCUGUUUUCAUAAUUAUAUUGCUCACAUGCUGCUUAUCUUUGUUUUUGUUGUAGUGAGAGGCACUUGCUCUGUUGCUGAUAGGGAUUAGUGUAAAUCAACUGCGCUCUCUUCCUGAAGGUGCUACUGCCAUUGGCAUUCCUCUUGCUACGGGUGCAUACAUCUGUACCUUUAUCUUUGUAAGUUUCUUUUUCCUGUGCUUAUAUUUGCUCAUCUUGAAGUUGAAUAUAUAAAGUGGUUCCGUGCACAUAAUCUGCUUUCUCAUGCUUCUUCAUUGAUUUGAUGCACUAUGGAAAGUUCUUAUUCAAGAAUCAUGCUAGAGACUAAUUUUUAAAAUUCACGUGCAGGUUACUGUCCCAUCGAUGGCGUCUGUCUUCAACGAGUAUGCCCUGAAGAGUCAGUAUGACACAAGCAUCUAUCUUCAGGUUAGAUAGUCCUGAUGCAAUUUUUAAUCCUGCAUCAUGGAUUGAUAUGUGUGUAGUAACAUGAAACUUUGUGUGCUUGGUUACUUGUUAUGUUUUUUGAAAAUGAUGUGUUAUCAAUGAAAUAGAAGCAGAAAUCCUUGGGCUGUUGAACUCUUUGUUCUGUUUUCUGAUCUUGUUAGCUCUGUUAUGGCUAAAAUUCCACAUAUUAGGGUACAUAGCUAGAUUCUUAGUAAUGUCAAAUUCUAAGAUCAUGGUGUUCUACACCUGUGUUGACUUCUUCUUCGUUUGUCUUUUUUUGUGUGUGUAAUUGUCGUCUGAUUGACAUUAUUUUCUGUUGCAGAACUUGUUUCUCUAUGGCUAUGGUGCGAUAUUCAACUUUCUUGGCAUACUAGCAUCUGUUAUAUAUAAAGGUAUUUGCAUUUGUUUUAGAAGUGUCGGAAGAAAAUAAUACGUUUUUAGCACCAUGAUAGCUUCUGAAAAUCCUAGUAGAUAAUCCUGAGAACUUCACGAUGCAUUGCUUACAAAAUUUAUCAUUGACAGGUCCUGAAAGCUUUGACAUCCUACAAGGACAUUCUAGGGCAACCGUGUUUCUAAUAAUGAACAACGCAGCACAAGGGAUCCUAUCCUCCUUUUUCUUCAAAUAUGCAGGUAAUUACUUAAACUAAGUUUUGUUAGAUCCAUUUAGCUUAUGUCUUAGUUUGCUUGAGUUUAUAUCUGGAGAUUGUGAAUUUUGUUAUAUGUAGUUAAGAGUAUUUGUUAACAUAUCUCUGAUGCUUUUCAGAUACAAUCUUGAAGAAAUAUUCAUCCACAGUUGCCACAAUCUUUACCGGGAUAGCAUCUGCAGCACUCUUUGGACAUGUUAUAACCAUGAACUUCCUUCUUGGGAUAUCUAUCGUUUUCAUUUCAAUGCACCAGGUAAACCUCAUAUGAACCAUAUCCCUGCUGAAUCAAACUCAACAAACUCAUUUCUGUGUUGUUUAUUUAUCGUCUCAUUUAUGUAUAGUUCUUUUCACCACUUGCCAAAGUGAAAGACGAGCAACAACAGAACGGGAGCCUAGAAUUAAGCAAUGCAAAGGAUACUCACAGGUUAGUGACAGUAUACAUACUUCUUUAUCAAAUCUUGUUCAGACAUCGCCGUACCUACACCAUUUAACUUCUUUUCCUUGUUAUUUCCUUCAGGGCUGAUGAUUCAUUCAUCAACAUGGCCGCAGGAGCAAAUGAAGAGGUGAAUAACAAUAAAUUUGUGAAGCCAGUUCUUGAACAUGUCCCAACCUAAGUCUGACACUAAUGAUCAUUGUCUUUUUGUCACCGUCUCUGUUCAGGCUACUCACAGUGGUGAAUCAGACGAUAGAACACCGCUUCUUCCCAGAUGAAAUGUUUCUUAAAAAUAGGUAACAAAUUCUCACCUUUCAAGCUCUAAAAUAUCAUCCAUUAUCUAAUCAGAUAGAUUCUUACCAAAGAAACCUCUAGAACCAAAUCUAGGUUGCAGAAAAUGUGCAUCUUUCCACUAAAAAAGAGUAUAAGCUGAAUGUUAUUAAUAAGGAGAGUCAUCAUCUACUUUUGUACCUUGUCGCUGCAGGAUUUUUGAACUCACAAGGAGUAUGUUCCAGGUUGCAUAGUGAAGCAAAUUUUGAUGAGACCCAACUCUUGAUUCUCUCAAGAGUCGGUUUUAAGUUCAUGGAAGAACCUCUUGUCUAUAGAUGUGUAUUGUCUUAAGAUAGAUUGAGCAAACUUGUUUAAGUGAUACAUAACAUUUUGUAUUCUUUGGUUUUUUGCGAAAUAUCAGGUCACUUUUCCGCUCUUAAGACUGUUAGGACAAAGAGGAAAAAAACACAAAUAUAUAGAAUACUUUUAUAAGAAUCGAACAACUCCAGCAAACAUAGAAGAAGAGACGACAAAAAGACUUUUGAAGAACAUAUUUGUAUAUGAUAUGGCAAACACAUGAAAACAGAAAACCAAUCUCUCAUUAUUACAUAGAAGAAUCAUAUCCCCUGUGAUUGAACAGGUACUGCUGUUGAUGACCUCAGCAACGGUUGCAGAGCUUUUACCACAAUGCUCAUGUUCGGCCUAAACUCUGAUUCAUAUUGCACACACAACGCUGCAACAGCCGCAAGC